AACAAAUGAGGGAUUUUUCAACUUUAGGAGUAAACAUUAGAAAACAAUUAUUGAACAUUUUAUGUGCCAUGUACCUUUUCAAAGUGCUGGGCUUACGGUUGUAAACCUUAUUUAUUUGCUUCUUACUGGCAAAUUGUCUUAUUGACAAUAUCACGAGAGAUACAAACACAUAUGCAUCUACUGUAUGGGAAUGCAUAAAGGUGGUGCAGAGAGCUGGGUUGUUGUGAGGAAGGAUCUGGAGAGCUUGUGUGCUUAGAGAAAAGAACUAGGUAGUCUCAGGGUUCCAAAUUGGUAUAUGGGAUUAUGGUGCCAACUUGCUAUUCUGACCAGUGGGUUUGACUGAUGGAUGAAAAGAUGGGACAGGAAAAUGGGUCAGCUAUUAAAUGUACACUAGACUGUGAACUUUAUAUCUGUCUGGUUCACAUUGUCCAGAAUAUACAGAUGUAUAUACACAAACAUAGUAGGUACUCAAUAAGUAUUUUUUGAAUAAACAAAGAUCCUAUCUCAAUGUGAAAUAAAAUCAAGAGUUGGUUAUACCUACAAUGGGAUAUUAUUCAGCCUUAACAAGGAAGGAAAUUCUGACACAUGCUAUAAUAUGAAUGAAACUUGAGGACAUUACGCUAAAUGAAAUAAGCCAGUCUCGAAAAAGACAAGUACCAUAUGAUUUCACUCAUACGAGGUAUCUACAGUGGUCACUGUAAUAGGAACAGGAAGUAGAAUGGCGGUUGCCAGGGGUUGAGAGGAGGAGGGAAUGGAAAGUUGUUUCAUGGAUACAGAGUUUCUGUUUAGCUAGAUGAAAAAUUUACGACAUUUGGCUGCACAACAAUGUGAAUAUACUUAACACUACUGAACUGUACACUUAAAGUGGUUAAGAUGUUAACCUUUGGUAUGUAUAUCUUACUGCAUUUAAGAGUAAAAUAAUAAUAAUAAAAUUCAAAGUGUGUGGCUGGUGAUUCAGCUGCACCUGGGUUUGUGUUAUUUUGUUUUCCUGACAAGUAAAAGAACUCAAAAAAGUCUGUGUUCCCAGUGUGAGUUCCUCCUGCCUUUAGAUUCUGUGGAUCCACAUGAAAGGGAAAAGAGAAAACUGAGGCUCAGAGAGGCUUUUACAACUUGUCCACUGACGGCAGAGAUAGUCCGGUGACUAGAACCCAAGUCUUUAGAACAGUUCCCAUUGCACUGGCGGUCAGGGCCGGGGUCAGCCUCUGUAGCCAGUCCUCACAUCCCAUUCCUGCCUGGGGUACUGCUGCUUCUGCCACAGGAGACCGAAGAUGCAUUCCCUCUAUGGCUCCGCUCGAAAGACUGAUAGGCACCUCACAAUUAGCGUGGUCUGCACUGAGCCCCGGAUUUAUUGUUACCAGAUGAUAUAUUCUUAAAAAUAAUUUUUGAUGGUAGUUCACUACAUGGUUUUUAGAAUAUAACUUAGAAAGAGUUCAAAGAAUUGAGUUGUAUUCCUGUAACAAAACUUUUUCUUUCCUUACCUACUUAUUUUUGGGAAUAAGGUUCUCAGUGCUGACAACUGUAAAUAUGAUAGAAAGGAACGGAAUUGAUCAUUAACCCUGUAUCAUUCUAGCAAUAAAUACACACCAAUGGACACAUGAACUGAGUAAAGAAAAUCCUCAUAUAUCUCAUCAUGAGAUGAAUUUCCAAUAAAAUUUUACUGUAUGUUUAGGAACUAUUCUUAAAAGUCCAUAAUAUAUUUGUUAUUUUAAUCAGUUGCAUACUACUGAUAAUUAUAAUACAGAUGAAUUUUUUUGGUACUCAGAACCACGUGAUUGCAGGAAACAGAACAUUAUACAUUUCUAUUUACAUAUUUUUGUUAGAGAUCUAUAAUGGCAAUAAGUAAGAGACUUUCACUCAUGUGCUCUGCAGUAGGCAAAGGUUCUGGAGGGAGUAAUACAGAACAAAAAUAUGAGUUCAGGAAUAAAAGAACUAUGUAAAAUUUCUGUUUAGCUCUUUCAUAUUUUUUUAAGUAAAUGUACACAUCAGAAUGCUACCAUACUUAAAUUUAUUUAAAAGAGUGGCUUGGUAUCUUAAUUUUAAAAUUUCAAUAAUAUUUACAAAUUGCCAUAAAUAACCUUCUUUGAAACUAUUUAAACUUAAAUUUAGACAUUAACUUAAAAAGGUGCGUUAGAUACAUGAUUUUCCAAGAUCCUUGUGGGGGCAGGUGAACCAAACUGAGUCUGAACACCAUUGGCAUAGGCAGUCCUUGAGUUGUGCUGCAAAGGGAUGCAAAGAAAUGGAUUGGUAGCUAGAAGCAGAUAUGGAACCACAAGAGAUUUUUGUUUUUGGUUUGCUUUUGUUUUUAAAGAUUGGAGAAAUGACACAAUGUUUGUGUGCAGAGGAGAAUGAUUUAGAUGAGAGGGGAAAAUGAUGGUACAGAUGAGGAGGGAGGGAUCUAGGGCGGUGGCUGGGGUUGGAGGCCUCGGAAAGCGCAAGCCAGAGCAACCGUGCGCGGACUCCAGGCGCGCAGGAGGGCGGGCGAAGAGGACGCGGACACACUUGUCCCGGGAGGGGAAGGUGGGUGGAUCAAGGAAGUUCUGGUCCGAUAGCAACUAUUUCCGUAAUAAAAUCGGAGCAAGACUGGCAGCUGGGAGGAUGGGAGAGGGGGUGUUAGGGCUGAUAAGAGAGAGAGAAAACAGUCGUUUAUAGGAGUGGGAGAGAGUGCCCUCGGAAAUGUGGCAGGACUUGGAGUUGAUGCCAGGAAUUUAGAGAGACCAGUCAGGGCCCGCGUGCUUUCCGCCACGUCCCCAGGCGGGCGCAGAGUAGGGCGGACAGAGAGCUGGGUUUCACCAGCGUGGGGGUGGGCAGGUGCUAAGGAUGGGCGCAGUUGCAAGGCAGUUGAGGCCGAGUAAUUAGAAUGAUGGAGCCUAGACUUGCAGCUGCAGGAGAGAAGGGACGGCGUUGGGUUGGUGAUGGGGUCAGCGGAUUGUUAAAUCCGUGUGGGUACAUAAAUUGAUGCAUUUGGAAUAUUGGUUUUUCUUUUUUUUUAAUGUAAUCUAUCAUAUAUAUGUAUUUUUUCCAAGAGCACUUCUGACUCCAGUUCUCCUCUUUCCUUUUUUAAUAGUUCUGCCGUCGUUUUCACGCGUGGAAUACUUUCUUAUUAAUCGGAGGGAAGUGGUUGGCGGCUCCUCCACGAUGGCUUGUGCUGCGCGCGCCUCUCGGCAGCGUCCUCGGAAUUGGUGGCAGCCUUGUUGAAGUCCCGGCCUUCCCUCCGCGCCUGCCGGUCCCGGCAGUCCAUUCAGGCCGCGGGAGAGAUCAGGGAGCGCUGAUCAGGAGCCCCGCGCGCUCUGGCGGAGCCGGUCCCCGUGGGCCGGAGAGGGCGCCACGGAGGUGGGCUGGCCUAGGUAGGUCCUCGGCCGCGGGGGGGGUCCCCCGCGCCCUCGUCUGGGCCUGGUGGUCGGGGGCUGCGAGGGGGGCCCGGGAGUGGGGGCUUGGAAGUCCGCGGGCCAACUGGGACCCUAUUUUCUAGCGUUCGUCCCGCGCCCGGACGUUCGGCAUGCCAGCGCAGAACGCUUUGCUGCGUUCGUCUGGGAGCGCGUUUAGGGUGAGAUCACGGCGAAGGGUUUUGUUUAGCCUCCCCGCCGCCCCUCACCCGCCUCUGGUGGGGAGGGCGGGGCAGGCGCGGCCCAAUGGGAUCAGCCCAGGGCUUCCAGCCUGUUCUUGUUUUGAAAGCAGCCGUAUCUGAAGAGCGGCUGAACAUUAACUCUUUGUGGCGGUGUUUCAUCUGUGGGGGAGGCCUGGUGGCUGGAGGAUUUGGAUUUGCAAGCCGCUUAAUGCACAGCGUGCCGUCCGCCAAACACUUGAUUUCGUGCUUUGUGCCACACCCUGGGAAAGUUUUCGGAGAAAAAGGCAACGUCCAGCCCUUUCCAGUGCCUGCCUCUGAUUCUCAAGUCCCAGCUGUUGUCUGUUCCUGCACUGAAGUCUUGCAAGCCUAUGAUGUAGAUAUUAGUCUCCCUUUAUUUUAGAUAAGGCAGCUGCGGUUUAGAGAUUUGAAGUGAUCUACCAACAUCAUCUAGAUGGUAGGGACAGAACUGGGUUUGGUGCAAAUCUGCCCUCAAAGCCCAGGCACCUCCUAGUACUCUGCUGGGUCUUGCCCCCCAGGGGUACCAGCUUCGCUGGGUAGGGAGCCAACCAAGAAACUGUGGGUAGGUGUUUCCUGUUGUCUUUGGACAGAGCAGCAUCUCUCUGGUAUUUUUUUGGAGCAAAUGAGAUGGGGCUGGCCUGAGGGCGAGGACAUGAGCAUGGAUUCAACCCGGAACCACUUCUCGCUUGUCUGUAAAAGACUGGACUAGAUUGAAGUUCCCCUUAUGUCUGAGCAUCUGAGAUAUGAUUCUGAGUGUUAGUUCAUUGCAGAGGCAUCACCAUGAAUGGUAAAAGCCCUGGGUCAGGAGCCCCGCUCUACUCAUCAGCUGUGAGAUGCUGGGCAACUCAGUUCACCUCCCUGCAUCAAGAUUUUCCUAUCUGUCAAAGGAAGACCAUUAUCCUGUUGGUGUAAUUCCCAGGCUGUUGUGAAGAUCAAAUGGAAACGCCAAAGUGUAAUCUGUAAAAGCCUGUGCACUUGCAGGGAACAUGGGCCUAACUGGUGACUCUGCCUGGCCAGCUAAUCACCAAUUCAGGGCAGUUGAAAUCUGGCCUGCAACCUGGUCUGUGUGGACAGCCAGGAUCCCUCCUCCGUGGGGUGCAGACUUCCUCCUCUGUACCCUGAGUGCCGUGGUAACUAUCUCAUAAAGUUGUAGUGAAGAAUAUGGAACAUAAUCCCAUUCACCUCUUCCUCCAUCAUCUGUCCUCUGCUCACCCAACAAACUUGUAUUGUGUAUGGGCUCUUCACCAGUCUCCGUGCUGAGCACUGGGAAUACGGGAGUGAAUGAGACAUGGUUUUUUCCUCUAGGAAAGCAUAGUCCAGGCACAGAGACACCCACUAACAAAAAGUUAUAGGACAAUGUGGGAUUCAGAGAAACCCCUGUACUUGAGGUAUUUGGGGGCCCAAAGGAGAGCAGCAUCUAGCUGAGCCUGGAGGUCAACAAGUCUCCUUGGAGGAGACAGCACUUGAAUGAGACUUGAAGGAUGAGUCAGCCAGGUGAGGGGGCAUGCACAGGAGAGGUGCUCUUCAGCUUCAAUGGGAUGGGAUCAGGAAAUUAUUUCUUGGUGUUUAUAUGAGAGAAGAAGAAAAGCUGCUGAGAGUUAAACUUCUGCACAAUCCAACAUUGAAAUAUCAAAAACUAUCCUCUCAAAAGAAAAUGAUCAACUCUUUUGACAUUUUCUGGAGGUUUCUUUGAAGCUUUAGCCAAAUAUGAGAUAAGUGUGGAAAGUCAGGAAAGCAAGUUAACUCUUUUACUGAAAUCUACUAUGUGCCUGUUUCUUGAUUCACCUGAACAAAUGGGUAUUGUCUUCCCCAUUCCUUACAGUUACCCUGUAUGGUAAGUAUCUUUAGAUCCAUUUGUCACUUAAGGAUGCUCAGAAAGGUAAACAUUUGUCUGAGAACACACAAUGAUUAGGCGUCAAAGCCAACGUUCAAAUCUGUCUUGCCAAUGGGUUUCAGUUUUGGGCAAGUUCACUUUGGAUUCAGUAUGACCAAAGAAAUGACAGUAGAAUGUUCUUGGGGUAAAGGGGUUAUACCCACUUUUAUUUCCAUGGUGGCAGGUCUAUCACUAGAAUCCCAUCCACUCAGAGCGAGUCUGCAUGCAGCAAGCCAGUCUCUGCCUAUGGGCCUCUUUGCCCACACAGCCGUCCCCGGGGCCUCUGUCCUCGGCGCUGCCACCACUCCAGCCUCUGCUCUGCUCUCCUGCAGCUUUGCAGCAGUGCCAUCAUGUUGCCCAGAGCACUGGCAGAGCUCUUUAUAUAGAGUCAAAGCAAUGUAUUGCCCACACGUGUGUGGUGAGAUAGCCAACCAGGGCCAGGUGAGAAUCCUGACCACAGGAAUUUUCAUUUUAUCCACAAAACCUUAGUCUGUUUGGUCCUAAAGUUCAGGCUCUUUUUUCUACUAUUCUCUGCUUCUGAAUCUGCAAGUCUACUGAUGCGAGCUGUUGCUUCCUCUAAACUCCUCUUUUUAAGGAGCCCAGCCCUUUGUCCUGUAGCCCUGGGGAGAUCCUGGGAAGACUGCAAACCUGCAGUUAUAUAAAAAAAAAAGGACUUAAUCUUGGAGACUGCAUGAGACCACCAAAUGCCCAGGCAGCAAAUGUGAGAGUAUAACUUUUGGGAAGCUUAUGAAAUGGACAGCUGGAUGUUUCUAUUUUUGGAUGUGAGCUCAGGCACCAGUAACAGUGUGUAUCUUUUUUUUUUUUUUC